UGUGAAGUUACUUAAACAACCAGGAGGUUGGCUUAGAAGCAGCCAUCCUUUAAAGAAAGCGUAAUAGCUCACUGGUCUAGUGAUUUUGCGCGGAAAAUAUAACGGGGCUAAAGUAAGUACCGAAGCUGUAGACUUAGUUUACUAAGUGGUAGGAGAGCGUUCUAUUUGCGUCGAAGGUAUACCGGUAAGGAGUGCUGGAGCGAAUAGAAGUGAGCAUGCAGGCAUGAGUAGCGAUAAUUAAUGUGAGAAUCAUUAACGCCGUAAACCCAAGGUUUCCUACGCGAUGCUCGUCAUCGUAGGGUUAGUCGGGUCCUAAGUCGAGUCCGAAAGGGGUAGACGAUGGCAAAUUGGUUAAUAUUCCAAUACCAACAUUAGUGUGCGAUGGAAGGACGCUUAGGGCUAAGGGGGCUAGCGGAUGGAAGUGCU
rnacentral:rRNA from 1 species